rnacentral:lncRNA from 1 species
AAGUAGACUUGUAUCCAUUUAGGGUGGGUUCUAUAACCUAGUAGCUGUUCUCUGAGCUAUACAAACCCUUAGGAAUCCAUUAACUUUUUCCUCAUUUUUUUUUUUUUUUUCCAAAUCCGCGCUUACUGGCCAAAACAAAUGAAGCAGGUGAAUACUUAUGGCAUGAAUGACGGAAUGACGAAGCAGGUAGCAUGAAUUCCUGAGAGCUCUGCUUCACAGAAGACUUCCUCCCCAGGCCUGUGCGCCUCACAGCAUGGAACCAAUGCCCCUUUCCACUAACUGAUUCAAGCCCCUGGAAGUAGCUCGGCUACAGUAUUACAAGUCAAGAAUUGGCAAGAUUAAAGGGUCUGUUGAAUUAGCACAAAUCACCUUCAGUAAAGCUUGGCAAGUUCCAAGAAUGUUUCCGUAAAAAAGAAGGGACUCAAUAGCAUCAGCAAAUAUGCAGCUUUUCUUUGACUAGCCGACCGAUCUCCUUUGGUUACAGGAUGACGUGUAAUUGUUAUUGAUUUGAAUAGAAUAAAAACUCUCAGCAACAUAACUAGAAAGCCACAGGUAGCAGGGUAAUUGCUGUUAUUGUAGUGGGGACCUGACAUGCCAAACUCAAGGGCUCAUUUGCCAGAACCGCAAACAGAUGGAAAUACCAGUGUUGCAGAAGAUGCAUUCCACCGGCUUGUAGUCAAAAUCGGAAUUUCUCACAAUGAUCGAAACCCCAACAUGUAUCUUCGACAUACUUCAGGGUGUUUGAGAACGUACUGAUAGAUGAAUUAAUUUGAAAUAAUGAAGUGUUGAUUUGAUACAACUCUAUACCAGACUGCCACAAGAACAGUUCAAUUAAAUUAGCUUAAACACAACAUCUCCAUUUGUUAAUAUUUGCAGCACUUAAAUGAAGUAAGAAUUUGAUUAGUUCCAUUUGAAUGCAAAUCAAGCAACAGAGGAGCCGGUCACCAGCUUAAAUUGGUAGAUGGAAGUAAAAUAAAAACACGAAACCGUACAUUUUCUGAAAUUCUAAUAACAGAGUAGAUGACAGGCUUCAAUGAUAGCACAGGAUGGAAUUUUGUGCGGGUGGCAUUGGCUUAUCAAGUCGGUUAAUUAGUUUAGAUGUUAAUCUGUUUUGUUGAACAUGAGAUUUCUCUGCAAACCUCCUGUCAGGGUAACUAUGCUCUUGUCUAAUGCAAGAGCUGAAAGGGCGGUGAUCAUCUUAGUGAACUUCUGAUGGUGGCAGGAGCCUAGAAAUCAGGGCUCUGAGAGCCCUAUGAUCAGGUCGCCUAUUCUACGGAUGCUUCAUGGGAUUCACCAAGGAAUUCUUGGAGUGACUCUGUGCUCAUUAAGUGAAUACGCUUCCUUCUCUCUUUCCUUUUAUCCCAUAGAGGACCUAUGGGCUUAUGGCAUUCCCUGGCCAGAAUGAUUUCACUCAGAGAAAAUUAGUUAUGCAAGUUCAUGGUUAUCUUUAAGCAACGUGCUCUUAAUGUCUGUGGGAAGCCAAUUGCUCUAGGCCAUAUUGCAGAGAAGACUGGGAUAUGGGUGCCCGCAAGGGCUGGGGCUGGCUGUCCUGACUCCCGAAAGGCCAUGAGGUUCAGUGUUGCUCCUCUGAUCAUCUGGGCCAGUGCUUCAGAAUGGCCCUCAGUUUGCCAUAACUGAGGUUUACGUCUGCAAAUCUGUUGUUUCUAAAUAAUGUAUAUGCUGGAGCUACCAUGACAUCUAACUCUUAUAUACAGAGAGGUAUCUUUGCAAGGGUUCUCUAAUGCUCAUAGGAAAGGGGGAUCUUUUAUAAGCCUGCAUGUCCCAUGUGCACUCUCCUCCCUCUGGGUCCUGAUUCUCUCUACCUGACGGUCCCUCUGCCAUUCAUCUGUGGCCAGAACGAGCCAUUCCAUUAAAAACCAGAAUGGUGACUGGGACAAAGAAGUAUCAUACCUGCUCAUAAAGGAUGUUUCCUGAAGGUUAGAAAAGUGCCAACGAGAGUAAUUUUCAGAUAUUUCAGAGUCAUCCUACUUUCACAUCUCUUCUUUAAAGAAAUUCUCAGGAAUAUCUCUCCAAAGCUUAUUCAGAGGUGAUGGUUUCGAGUGAAAUGCCAUGUGCCACAAGAGCAUACCAAUUUCUUUUGUUGCUUUGUGGCCUUGAUUUAAAGAUAUCUAGUAUUGGAGAGGCAUAAACACAAAUUAUUAAAUAGCUUUCUCUUUAUAGGCAGUCAUCCGUUGUUGACUUAUCUUUCUAUUUACUUCAUUCUCUUAUGUUGGCCAUUGUGAGGGCUAAUUGUGUAUUGUGAGGCUUACAUAAUACAACCUUGGAAAAGCUUGUGUGUCUUCAUUGCCCUGGUAUAGUGUUAAAUAUAGAUGUUAAAAGAGAAGCAGUGUGGUAGGGUAGAAAGAUUGAGAGCUGAAGUCAAAAGGCUCUUCUGAAACCGAUAACCAAAGUGUGAGCUGUUGGAAUAUGGAAUUCCCUCUGGCGUGAUUGUGUAUUGUCUGGCAGUGGAGGCCUAGAGCUCAUGCUUGAUAGGUGAGUGGCUGAAAGAUCCUGGUGAUAAAAAAAACCCUGGUCUCUUUGGACCUUAGGUGCACUUGUCUCUGAAAGAAGUGGGCUGCAGUGACACUAAAAUCUUGUUUAGAUGCUAUUUUUUUUUUUUUUUUAUAGAAACUAGUGACUCAGAAUUUAACCUCACUUCACAAAGAGCUGCUUAAAUCAUAUUGAGGGAGGAGAAGACAGAUGAUCGCUUGCAUCUUUAAUAUGUUAUAUUAAGAUUGAUCUCUACAUACGCUUUUUAAAAUAAACAGCAAGGUUGAGAAAAGUUUGGGCUCACUGUUGGCUACCUUUUGAGCAUGAAUUUAACCAACACACACACACACACACACAUACAGCUUUGUACCCAGCAACAUCACUGAAUGGGUCACAACCCUGUCAUCCUGUAGACCAGGACACUUGACACCUAAGCAGAGAAGAGAAAGGACACAUACAUUAUUUUAUGAUCCAACUCAACAAAUAUUUGGUAAACGUUUGCUCUAUCAGUUAGGGUAAACUUUCCAUUAAGAUGAGCUGCCUAGAUUUAUCUGAUGGCUCAGCUUGUGGUAAAUACAUCCUCCCAGGUAUUACAUUUUGUGACUUGUGAGACAUUAAAGAAAAUUUAGGAGUUCCCGUCGUGGCUCAGUGGUUAACGAAUCCGACUAGGAACCAUGAGGUUGCAGGUUCGAUCCCUGCCCUUGUUCAGUGGGUUGACGACCUGGCGUUGCCAUGAGCUGUGGUGUAGGUCACAGAUGCGGCUCAGAUCCCGAGAUGCUGAGGCUCUGGCGUAGGCCAGCAGCUAUGGCUCCGAUUAGACCCCUAGUCUGGGAACCUCCAUAUGCCAUGGGAAUGGCCCUAGAAAAGGCAAAAAGACACACACACACAAAAGAAAAGAAAAUCUAGGGGGAAAUUAUGGUGAUGGAACAGAAUUCCCUUAUACUAUGGAAAUAUAGUCACUCAAAGAUUUGUUAGAUCCUUCUUUCCUUCUUCCUUCCUCUCUCCGUGUUUUAUA